AAAGGAGCAGAAGGGCGCAAAAUAAGCAGAAAGUAGCAGAAAGGUAAAAGAGCAGAAGGGGCCAAGGAUAGAAAACAGUGUCAGAAGAAAAAAAAAGACUGUCAAAUGAAGGAGAGGAAAAGGAGAUUAGAGCAGGAAGGACAAAUUAAGUGAACCCUCCACUUUAUUCUGGACACCACAUCAUAAGGCUUUGGUACCUGGGCCAAGCAGGGAAACGCUGGACCUUCUCAUCUCCAAAGGUAAAAAAAUAUCAGUAUUAAUGUGUUCACUUUUAUGUACUGAGUGUCAGGAAGCACAGAGUGCCGUUGGGUAGGGGUGUUGCUGAUUGGCUAGAGCGGUCAGCUGGCACUCUAAGCCAAUCAGUAACUCCCCAUUCAUAAAAAAG